ACGCUCGACACCUACGGAGGCAGCAGUAGGGAAUCUUCCACAAUGGACGCAAGUCUGAUGGAGCAACGCCGCGUGAGUGAAGAAGGUCUUCGGAUCGUAAAACUCUGUUGUUAGAGAAGAACACGAGUGAGAGUAACUGUUCAUUCGAUGACGGUAUCUAACCAGCAAGUCACGGCUAACUACGUGUCAGCAGCCGCGGUAAUCUGAGCGGGCUGGCAAGGC
rnacentral:rRNA from 1 species